UACAUCUUUUGGGGCAUUCAGAAGAUCACCGGAGAGGUCUUGGAUCAACAUCAUGAAGAAAGAAAACGCAUGUGAUGCUCAGCGCUGCCUUCUUAUAGAAGGUCUCCCAGAGCCUUCUCUCCAGGCUGAACAACCCCAAAGCUCUCAGCCAGCAUAACAAUACAUUUGAGAAACACUGCAGAAAUGAGCGUGCCAUUUGUUUUGUCCG
rnacentral:lncRNA from 1 species